rnacentral:lncRNA from 10 species
CUCAGCUCACUGCAAUUUCUGCCUCCCAGGUUCAAGCUAUUCUCCUGCCUCAGCCUCCUGAGUAGCUGGGAUUACAGGCGCCUGGCUAAUUUUUGUUAUUUUUAGCAGAGACAGAUUUUCACCAUGUUGGCCAGGCUGGCCUCAAACUCCUGAUCUCGUGUGAUCCACCAGCCUCGGCCUCCCAAAAGUGCUGGGAUUACAGGCAUUAGCCACCGUGCCUGGCCUCAAAAUUACUUUUAAACAGCUCUUGACUUGCCUACCAGGUUCACUCCACACAGAAUAUUCUUACCCACACUAAAGUCUAAGGGAAGAAAUGAAAGUCUGUCUAACUGCACUUGGGCCUGCAAACAUUCUGCUUCGAAGGUGACUGUGCAAACCAGUGGUUACUGGGAUGAGGGGAAGCCCACCGUGUCCUCUUUUGCAUGCAGUGAUUCUAUUCUGCUUUAAUAUUAAGCCUUGCCAUGGAAAUAGCCAAGCUGAGAGGUGCAUUUACUGCUGGAAUUAACCAAACUCAUUUAUAAUGGGCAUUAGAAAAUGUUUCCUGGAGUUGAAGCUACAUCUUGCUUAUUCUGGGGCACGUGCACGCCGAUCUUUGAAAAGGUGCAAAGAAUGUGGCCAGCUGUUUUAGUUUUUCUAGGUAGGCAUUUCAUGUUUUGCCCCCAACGCCCACCCCCCCACCACCCCGCCCCCAGCACAAUGGUGUGAGAGGAAGGAAUGAAAUUUAAACUAAGGGCCCAGGGUGAAUGAAACAAGCAUAUCACGUGACUUCACUUUAGCUGCUUUUCACCGGAUGGCUACAAGGUGACGCAGUCAUCCUUACUCACUCUAGAGCCAAGGGCUUCCAGCUGGUGGUCCUUGUCCUUGUUCUGACUUUUUAGGUGACUGACCUCUUCCUUUAGUUGUUGAACUUGCUCAUCCUUUGCUAAUAUGUCUUUUUGCAAAGAUGACACCAUCCCUGUAAAAAAGAAGACUCGCAGAGGUCAAAGAGGCAGUGAGGAUGACUGUCAUCGCUGCCGCUGUCAACCAGUUUGUGACGAGCCUGGCACUGAGAAGGGAGGUGUCUCCAAGGAUCCCAGGAGCUUGAAUGGGGUUGAGACCAAUAUCCACUGCACAUCAUUUGUUCAAGGUCCCAGUGAGAAGGAGAGGUCAGUCAGUGCGUGUUGCUGGAGACAGGAAACAUCUGUCGGGGUGCUGUGGGCAUCGGCCCUGCCUGGGAACAAAGGCUCAGCAGAGAGAGGGACCAGGAGGGGCCACGACAUGGGCCUGUGGCAGCAAGGGACGUGUUGAUUCACACUCAUCUGAGUUUGGAAACCGUCUCUAGCACUUACUAGCUCAGUCGUCUUUUUUCUUGAGACAGGGUCUUACUCUGUCACCCAGGCUGGAGUACAGUGGCACGAUCAUGGUUCACUACAGCCUCGACCUCCUGGACUCAGGCGAUCCUCCUGCCUUGGCCUCCCAAGUAGCUAGGACUACAGGUACGUGCCACUAUGCCUGGCUAAUUUUUGUAUUUUUUGUAGACAUGGAGUUUUGCCCAUGUUGCCCAGGCGGGUCUCAAACUCCCAGGCUGAAGCAAUCCACCAGCCUCUGUCUCCCAAAGUGCUGGGAUUACAGAUGUGAGCCACAAUGCCCAGCCUAGCUUAGUGGUCUGAAGAAGUUAUUUAACCUCUCAUUGUAUCUACAGAGUUGUAUAAAGAACAUAGUAGAGUGGCUAACACAUAGUGUUUAUUCCCUGCCACCCACAAGUAUAUGUGGUAGCCAGCUUGCAAAAUGGCCCCCAUGAUCCCUGCCUGUUAGAAUACCUGGCCUCGUGUAGCCCCCUCCCACCUGAAUAGGGCUGACGUGUGUAACUCAUAUGGCACUGUGGAAGUGGUGAAUGUGACUUCCCAGGGUGAAUCAUCAAAGAUGUUGUGGUUUCUUCUUUGCUCUCCUUGGAUCACUCAGUCUGGGGAAAGCCAACCGCCAUGUUGUGAGGACACUCAAGCAGCCCUAGGGAAGGACACACAUGGUGAGGAACUGAGGCCUCCAGCCAACAGCCAUGUGAGCGAGUCAUUCCAGAAGGGGAUCCUCGAGCCCUAGUCGGGCUUUAGAUGACAUGACAGCAGUAGCUCCUGCAACCUCGUGAGAGACCCUGAGCCAGACUAAGUCACUCCCAAGUUCCUGAACCACAGAAACCGGGACCACUCUUUUGGAGGAAGCUGGCAGCCAUUUCAUGAGGAGACUCAAGCAGCCUAGGAGAGGUGGCAGUGGUGAAGAACUGAGGCUUCCUGCUGUCAGCUAGUGAGGAACUGAGGCCUCUUCACACACGGAUGUGAGUGAACUACCCAGGAGAUGUGUCCUCCAGCCCCAGGCCUUCAGAGGACCGCAGCUCUCGUCAAAAGCUUAAUGCAACCUCCUGAGAGUCCCUGAACUACAGCCAUCCUGCUAAGCUACUCCCAAAUGCCUGACCCCCAGAAACUGUAAUCAGAAAGUAAACCAAAACCAAGACCCAUCCACAUGGCCGUGAACCACCCCCAAGCCACCAAUGGCAGCCCUGACGCAUACCUUGCUUGAUGACGGGUGGCUUGCGGGCGUCGUCCACCACGAACGAGAACAUCUCCUUGUUGGCGCUCACAGGCCGCCUGUGGGAGGCCGGCAGGACCACGCACAGCUGAUUCUGGCAGAGGCCCCGGGGAAGAUGCUCCAGCUGCUUUCAGUGGAGAGCAUGUCAAAAUCCAUCUAACCGUGGAUGAGCAAACGUGGAGUGGUGCUGACACCUGGCUUUUGCCGUGGAUUAAUGCUUUAGUGGUGGUUUCUCCCUGGUGCCUAGUGGUUGAAGGUGGCACUGAUGAGCACUAUCACUUAUUGCACCGAGCUUAUUGAUUCCUCACCAUGACCCUUUGUGUGAGGGUUCUCCUUAUUCCUGUUAGAAGUGAGGCUUGGAGAGGUUAAGGGAUUUACCCAGCACAGGCAGUGGUGGACAGGGAACUGGGAUCAAGAUCUGAUGGCCUCUCCUUCUUCUCUCUCUCUCUCUUUCCCCUCCUCUGUCUCCCAAUUGUCUUGGCAGAAAUAAUGCUUUCCAGCCCAGAGAGAAGAUGAGCUCAGACACACACAAUGAGGAAAAGGACAGAAUGCUUCCAAAAUCAGAGCUCCAGCAGACAGCACUUCCUAGAACUUCAGCUGGGUUUCAUUGAAAAGGAGGGCUCUCCACUCAGGAUCCUAAUCUCCAAGCUGCAGUCUGUCUACAGCUGCUCAGGGAUCCUAUGCAUUCCCCCUAAGGCUCUUUCUUGGAGUCAGUGAGGAGUGUUCUGGGAAAUCUGGCACCAAACUCCGAUCACCUGGUGAUACAUGGUUUGGCUGUGCCCCACCCAAAUCUCAUCUUGAACUGUAGUUCCCAAAAUCCCCUUAGGACGGACUGGGAGGGACCUGGUGGGAGGUAAUGGAAUCAUGGGGGCAGUUACCUCCAUGCUGCUCUCGUGAUAAUGAGUGACUUCUUGUAAGAUCUGAUGGUUUUAUAAUGGGCUUUCCCCACCCCCUUGCUCUGCACUUCUCCUUGCUGCCGCCAUGUGAGGAAGGACACGUUUGCUUCCCCUUCUGCCAUGAUUGUAAGUUUCCUGAGGCCUCCCCAGCCCUGGGGAACUGUGAGUCAAUUAAACCUGUUCGUUUUUAAAUUACACAGUCUCUGGUAUGUCCUUAUAGCAGUGUGAGAAUGGACUAAUACAUCUGGGGACACCUGGCCAGGCAUUCAAAUGACACUGGCCCACUUGAAGUCUGUUUUCAGGAGUGGGUCUGGGCCGAGUUCCAGAACUCUGUUACCUUACGUGUAGUUUCCCAUUUCUCUCCACUGUCAACAUCUCAGCCUCUCCACCUACCCUCUUUUCCAUUCUUUGGUUUCAGAAGCUGAGCCACUGUGCCCCUGCCCUGGGCUGACUUCUCCGUCCAUCAUGUCCUUCCC